rnacentral:tRNA from 1 species
GGUCACGUGAUGGAGUUGGUCACCAUACCUGUCUAACAGUUUUCUAACUGGUUCACAGGAGGUCGGCAGUUCGAUCCUGCCCGGGAUCA